rnacentral:rRNA from 1 species
GAUGAACGCUAGCAGGAGGCUUAAUACAUGCAAGUCGAGGGGUAACGAUCUGGAUUUAUUCGGAGGCGACGACCGGCGCACGGGUGAGUAACGCGUACAGACCUGCCUUAUACUGGGGGACACACACUGGAAACGGAGUAAAUACCCCAUGGUUCCGUGAGGAUAAAGCUUUAGGGCGGUAUAAGAUGGCUGUGCGUUAGAUUAGCUAGUUGGUAGAGUAACGGUUUACCAAGGCGACGAUCUAUAGGGGGCGUGAGAGCGUGGUCCCCCACACGGGUACUGAGACACGGACCCGACUCCUACGGGAGGCAGCAGUAAGGAAUAUUGGACAAUGGGGGCAACCCUGAUCCAGCCAUCCUGCGUGAAGGAAGACGGCCCUAUGGGUUGUAAACUUCUUUUGGAUAGGAAGAAAAUGAUUCAUUUAUGAGUCACUGACGGUACUAUCAGAAUAAGCACCGGCUAACUCCG